UCCUGGCUCAGAAUGACGCUGGCGGCAGGCCCUAACACAUGCAAGUCGAACGAAGCCUUCGGGUUUAGUGGCGGACGGGUGAGUAACGCGUGGGAACGUGCCCUUCGGUUCGGAAUAGCCCUGGAAACUGGGAGUAAUACCGAAUGUGCCCUUCGGGGGAAAGAUUUAUCGCCAAAGGAUCGGCCCGCGUUGGAUUAGGUAGUUGGUGGGUAAUGGCCUACCAAGCCGACGAUCCAUAGCUGGUUUGAGAGGAUGAUCAGCCACACUGGGACUGAGACACGGCCCAGACUCCUACGGGAGGCAGCAGUGGGGAAUCUUAGACAAUGGGCGCAAGCCUGAUCUAGCCAUGCCGCGUGAGCGAUGAAGGCCUUAGGGUUGUAAAGCUCUUUCAGUGGGGAAGAUAAUGACUGUACCCACAGAAGAAGCCCCGGCUAACUCCGUG
rnacentral:rRNA from 1 species